GAUGAACGCUAGCGGCAGGCCUAAUACAUGCAAGUCGAACGGUGUAGCAAUACACAGUGGCGCACGGGUGCGUAACACGUAUGCAACCUACCUUACAUUGGGGGAUAGCCUUUCGAAAGGGAGAUUAAUACCGCAUAAGACAGUAACUAGGCAUCUAGUAGCUGUUAAAGAUUUAUCGAUGUAAGCUGGGCAUGCGUCCAAUUAGUUAGUUGGCGAGGUAAUGGCUCACCAAGACGAUGAUUGGUAGGGGAACUGAGAGGUCAAUCCCCCACAAUGGCACUGAGAUACGGGCCAGACUCCUACGGGAGGCAGCAGUAGGGAAUAUUGGGCAAUGGGCGCAAGCCUGACCCAGCCAUGCCGCGUGCAGGAAGAAGGCGUUAUGCGUUGUAAACUGCUUUUAUACAGGAAGAAACGACCCCUGCGAGGGGCAUUGACGGUACUGUAUGAAUAAGCACCGGCUAACUCCGUGCCAGCAGCCGCCGUAACAC
rnacentral:rRNA from 1 species